rnacentral:tRNA from 1 species
GCCGACGUAGCUCAGUUGGUAGAGCAGCGCACUCGUAAUGCGCAGGUCCCCGGUUCGAAUCCGGGCGUCGGCUCCA